CAGGAAGGGUCCCCUGCGCUCUCCUCCCGACGGCCGUUGCUAUGUCCAGGAUAACAUGGAUGACCCUUCUCCUGGUCAUUUUGACCACCAUCUGGGGCGACCAUUCAGUGCAGUCUCAUCCAUGGAAAGGGGAGUAUCACCCUGGGCCAUGCAGAUGCCAAGCCUUGCCCAAUAAAAAACUAAUUUGCAAAGGAGUCACUUCACUGACUACAGAGGAGGUGAAAGAGCAAAUAAGGUGUCUCUGCAAGAUGCACCAACAUGAGUUCAGCCAGAUGCAAGUUCCACAGCAUAUCUGUGUUAGGCUGUUCCGUUACCCUCCCAUCUCUAUCCCUAUCAGCUUAGUUUGAGAGAUGCUGUUCCAUCAUCCUCCCCUCCCCUAUCACGUAAACCUGAGAGAUGCUGUUCCAUUAGCCUCCCCUCCCCACACCAGCACCUUAACCUGAGAGACUCCCCCCAACACGUGUAGGAGAGAGAGAAGGAAACAUCUUGUGACCUCAUUGGGACAGGAGAGCAUUGUCCAAUUUUGCUGCACUACAGCAUCACUUCUACCAGAUUUUCUAUUUCCUUUGCUCAUUUUCCACUCCACUGACAUACAGUAUUGCCGCCUCCAGCCCAGCAGUACAGAGUCCUUUAUGCGAACCACAACAAACCUUCAUCCCCUUUAAUUCAAUUUACUUCAAUA